GUGCACCCCUCCUGCAUGAGGCUCAGCACCAGGGGUCCAACGGAGGUCACAGUCACAGCACAGAAUGGGAGGUUUGCAGGGAGGGCUACCCCAGAGGGCAGAGUGAAAACAGGAGAAAGCUGCAGCCUUUCUUCUUCAUCCUCCUUGGGGAGCUAAUUACAGGCCAGCAGCCACUGUGCAGGAUCGGUUAUCCGGCUGCAGCAGAUAGCCUUCGACACAGCCACACGUGAAGGAGCCGUCUGUGUUGGUGCAUAGCUGACUGCAGGUGCCGUACACUGAGCACUCAUCAAAAUCUGCCAGGGAAAGGACAAGAAUGUGGUCAUUUCCAGUGUGACAAGGGCAGAGAAGUGAGUGCCCAUCAGACAUGACCAAUGUGUCCAUCCUUAUAGCUACCUUGAAGGACAGUUCGGCAGAAUCUAUUACAGCAUGAAAUGUGCAAACCUUAUCACCCAGCAAGUCCAGUCUUGGAAUCCACUCUAAGGAAACGCAUAUGCACAUGUCAUUUAUUGAUGUAGGGAAGAUUAUUGAGUCCCCACUAUGGGGCAAGUGCCAGGGGUACAUCAGUGAACCUUAAAAUAGACCCACAUUCCUGUCCUCAUGAAACUUAUAUUCAGACAAUAAAUGAAAUAGUUACUAUAA